AGAGUUUGAUCCUGGCUCAGGAUGAACGCUGGCGAAGAUGCCUUACACAUGCAAGUCAUACGAGAAUUUUUAAUUCAAGUGGCGGACGGGUGAGUAACACGUAAGAAUUUGCCUUUAGGAGGGGGACAACAACUGGAAACGGUUGCUAAUACCCCAUAUGCUUUCGAGUGAAACGGAAUUUUCCGCCUAAAGAGAAGCUUGCGGCUGAUUAGCUUGUUGGUGAGGUAAUGGCUUACCAAGGCGACGAUCAGUAUCUGGUUUGAGAGGAUGAUCAGACACACUGGAACUGAGACACGGUCCAGACUCCUACGGGAGGCAGCAGUGGGGAAUUUUCCGCAAUGGGCGAAAGCCUGACGGAGCAAUCUCGCGUGAGGGAUGACGGCCUAUGGGUUGUAAACCUCUUCUUUCAGGGAGGAAUAAAUGACGUGUACCUGAAGAAUAAGCAUCGGCUAACUCCGUGCCAGCAGCCGCGGUAAGACGGAGGAUGCAAGUGUUAUCCGGAAUCACUGGGCGUAAAGCGUCUGUAGGUGGUUUGAUAAGUCAACUGUUAAAUCUUGAAGCUCAACUUCAAAAUCGCAGUCGAAACUAUCAGACUAGAGUAUAGUAGGGGUAAAGGAAUUUC
rnacentral:rRNA from 1 species